AUGCGGUCUGGCGUCAGCGCCGACGGAGUUCCCGUCUUCUUCCCUGCAUCGCCAUGCAAUUGCUGGGCUAUUCUUCCUCUGCUCCACGCUGUGGUUGAUGUUGUUGCAACAAAUAUUACAGGUUUAUUGGGCAUGAUGACCAGCAAGGUGAACAAGGUGGCGCGCACCACCACCGCCUCGCGCAAGGAAACGUCAAGCCUGCAAAGGAUUAACCAAAGGAGGAACUUGAAGAAUUGGAGGCUACAGCUGAAGAUGAAGAACUUGCUACACUACAAGCUGAAACUUCGCUAUGACCAGGGUGACUACGAAGAGGAUUGA
rnacentral:rRNA from 1 species